rnacentral:rRNA from 1 species
CGCCUCUUGAUUACUAUAAGAGGUCCCGCCUGCCCUGUGACAAUGUUUAACGGCCGCGGUAUUUUGACCGUGCGAAGGUAGCGUAAUCACUUGUCUUUUAAAUGAAGACCUGUAUGAAAGGCAUCACGAGAGUUUAACUGUCUCUAUUUUCUAAUCAAUGAAAUUGAUUUUCCCGUGAAGAAGCGGGAAUAAUACCAUUAGACGAGAAGACCCUAUGGAGCUUCAAACACUUAGAUUAAUUUUGCAAAAUAUUUUUUACCCCAAGGGCUAAACCACAUAUAAUAUUUUUAAUUUAACUGUUUUUGGUUGGGGUGACCAAGGGGAAAAACAAAUCCCCCUUAUCGAUUGAGUACUAAGUACUUAAAAACUAAAGCGACAGCUUUAGUUGAUAAAAUAUUUAUCGAACAAUGACCCAGGACUUACUGAUCAAUGAACCAAGUUACCCUAGGGAUAACAGCGCAAUCCUUUCCAAGAGUCCCUAUCGCCGAAAGGGUUUACGACCUCGAUGUUGGAUCAGGACAUCCUAAUGGUGUAACCGUUAUUAAGGGUUCGUUUGUUCAACGAUUAAUAGUCCU